UAAAUGUCCACUAAAUAUGGCCAACCUAAC
rnacentral:piRNA from 1 species